rnacentral:rRNA from 1 species
GAUUCUGGCUCAGGAUGAACGCUAGCGGCAGGCUAACACAUGCAAGUCGAGGGGCAACGCGAGUAGCAAUACUUGGCGGCGACCGGCGCAAGGGUGCGUAACGCGUGAGCAACAUGCCCGUAUCAGGGGGAUAAUCCAGGGAAACUUGGUCUAAUACCCCAUAGUAAUUUUGUAAGGCAUCUUAUAAGAUUUAAAGCUUUGGUGGAUACGGAUUGGCUCGCGUGACAUUAGCUGGAUGGUAAGGUAACGGCUUACCAUGGCUAUGAUGUCUAGGGGGUUCUGAGAGGAAGGUCCCCCACACUGGAACUGAGACACGGUCCAGACUCCUACGGGAGGCAGCAGUGAGGAAUAUUGGACAAUGGAUGGAAAUCUGAUCCAGCCAUGCCGCGUGAAAAGGAAGAAGGUCCUAUGGAUUGUAAACUUCUUUUGUAUGGGAGCAAUAAGGCCUACGAGUAGGUUGAUGAGAGUACCAUACGAAUAAGCACCGGCUAACUCCGUGCCAGCAGCAGC